GGUUGUGUAGUGUAGUGGUUAUCACUUUGGUUUUUGAAGAGAAUCUUUCUCAUUGUCUACCAAUAACCCCAGUUCGAACCUGGGCACGACCU